rnacentral:pre_miRNA from 3 species
AAGAUUGCUCUAUCAGAGUGAGGUAGUAGAUUGUAUAGUUGUGGGGUAGUGAUUUUACCCUGUUCAGGAGAUAACUAUACAAUCUAUUGCCUUCCCUGAGGAGUAGAC